rnacentral:rRNA from 1 species
CGUGGAUGAUGAAGCUUCUCGGAGUGUAAAAUCCUUUCGGCAGGGACGAAUCAGUUGACGGUACCUGAAGAAGAAGCCCCGGCUAACUCCGUGC